UACGUAGGGUGCAAGCGUUAAUCGGAAUUACUGGGCGUAAAGCGUGCGCAGGCGGUUAUGUAAGACAGGUGUGAAAUCCCAGGGCUUAACCUUGGAACUGCAUUUGUGACUGCAUAGCUAGAGUACGGUAGAGGGGGAUGGAAUUCCGCGUGUAGCAGUGAAAUGCGUAGGUAUGCGGAGGAACACCGAUGGCGAAGGCAAUCCCCUGGACCUGUACUGACGCUCAUGCACGAAAGCGUGGGGAGCAAACAGG
rnacentral:rRNA from 1 species